rnacentral:rRNA from 1 species
UACGUAGGGAGCGAGCGUUGUCCGGAAUUACUGGGUGUAAAGGGAGCGUAGGCGGGAUGGCAAGUCAGAUGUGAAAACUAUGGGCUCAACCCAUAGACUGCAUUUGAAACUGUUGUUCUUGAGUGAGGUAGAGGUAAGCGGAAUUCCUGGUGUAGCGGUGAAAUGCGUAGAGAUCAGGAGGAACAUCGGUGGCGAAGGCGGCUUACUGGGCCUUUACUGACGCUGAGGCUCGAAAGCGUGGGGAGCAAACAGGAUUAGAUACCCUGGUAGUCCACGCUGUAAACGAUGAUUACUAGGUGUGGGGGGACUGACCCCUUCCGUGCCGCAGUUAACACAAUAAGUAAUCCACCUGGGGAGUACGGCCGAAGGUUGAA